rnacentral:snRNA from 1 species
AUCGCUUCUUGGCCUUUUGGCUAAGAUCAAGUGUAGUAUCUGUUCUUAUCUGUUAAAUGAAAUUGUUAAUAUACAAAUUUUUUGUCUACCUUCUUUUGGCACUAGAACUUCACCAUUUAGAGGAGCCCUU